rnacentral:rRNA from 1 species
UCGUAGGAAAUCUACCUUAUAGAGGGGGAUAACCUGGGGAAACUCGGGCUAAUACCGCAUAAUCUCUUUGGAGCAAAGCGGGGGAUCUUCGGACCUCGUGCUAUAAGAUGAGCCUACGUCGGAUUAGCUUGUUGGUGGGGUAAUGGCCUACCAAGGCGACGAUCCGUAGCUGGUCUGAGAGGACGAUCAGCCACACUGGGACUGAGACACGGCCCAGACUCCUACGGGAGGCAGCAGUGGGGAAUAUUGGACAAUGGGGGAAACCCUGAUCCAGCAAUGCCGCGUGUGUGAAGAAGGCCUUCGGGUUGUAAAGCACUUUCGGUGGGGAAGAAAAUAUCCUUGGGCGUUGACGUUACCCACAGAAGAAGCACUGGCUAACUCUGUGCCAGCAGCCGCGGUAAUACAGAGAGUGCAAGCGUUAAUCGGAAUCACUGGGCGUAAAGCGCGCGUAGGUGGAUAUUUAAGUCGGAUGUGAAAGCCCUGGGCUUAACCUGGGAAUUGCACCCGAUACUGGGUAUCUUGAGUAUGGUAGAGGGAAGUGGAAUUUCCGGUGUAGCGGUGAAAUGCGUAGAUAUCGGAAAGAACACCAGUGGCGAAGGCGACUUCCUGGACCAAUACUGACACUGAGGCGCGAAAGCGUGGGGAGCAAACAGGAUUAGAGACCCUGGUAGUCCACGCCGUCAACGAUGAGAACUAGCUG